GACGUAGGAUGCGAGCGUUGUCCGGAUUUAUUGGGCGUAAAGAGUUCGUAGGUGGUUUGUUAAGUCUGGUGUUAAAGAUCGGGGCUCAACCCCGGGAGUGCAUUGGAUACUGGCAGACUUGAGUGCAGUAGAGGCGAGUGGAAUUCCUAGUGUAGCGGUGAAAUGCGUAGAUAUUAGGAAGAACACCAGUGGCGUAAGCGACUCGCUGGGCUGUAACUGACACUGAGGAACGAAAGCCAGGGUAGCGAAUGGG
rnacentral:rRNA from 1 species